AUGGAGGCGACUGCAGCCACGGUGUGGCCGUCGACUUCCUCCUCCGUCCUCACCCCUCGCACCCGCCACCAUGCCACUCCCAGCUCCCGCCCCCUCCGCUCCGGCUUCCUCGGCCGCACCCUCACCCUCGCCGCUGCCACCCACCGCCCCUCCUCCGCCUCCGCCGCCGUCUCCAUCUCCGUGCGCGCGGCCUGGGACGGCCCCCUCUCCUUGGCGCGCCUCAUCAUGCAGGGCCGCAACGUCAAGCUCAAGGAGCACAUCGAGGACAAGGUGGGUCGUGCGGUGCACAACCAGGCGCACCUGGUGCGGGAGGUGGACGUGCGCCUCUCCGCCCGCGGCGGCGACCUCAGCAAGGGCCCCAAGCUCUCCCGCUGCGAGGUCACGCUCUUCACGCGCCGCCGUGACGUCGUGCGCGCCGAGGAGGAGGAGGACUCCUCCUACGCCUCCAUUGACGCCGCCGCCGCCGUCGUCAAGCGCAAGCUCCGCAAGAUUAAGGAGAAGGAGACCGACGUGCGAUACCUCAAGGGCGUUGUGCGCACAAAGGUGUUUGAGAUGGCGCCGCUGACGGUGGACGAGGCGCUGGAGCAGCUCGAGAACGUCGACCACGACUUCUAUGCCUUCAGGAACGAGCAGACAGGGGAGGUGAACAUCGUGUACAAGAGGAAGGAGGAAGGGUUCGGGCUCAUCAUCCCCAAGCAGGAUGGCCACGUCGACAAGGCCACCGUCAAUGCUAAGGAGCACCCCGUCGCCGGCUGA
rnacentral:rRNA from 1 species